GUGGUUUUAUAUAGUGUUGCCAAUUCACUGUAUGAGACACCUGAACUCAACAGAAAACAGCCUAGGACACUUCCUUUGUUUUGGAUUUAUUCCUUACCCUCUCAGAGUUAUUUACAUGAGAUCCCUGUCCAAGUGAAGUGACUCUGUUGACUUAAUGAUUGCCCCCAUCAAAGUAUGAAGAAAAAAAUAAGAACCUUCAGUGCUUCCUCUAGUUUUUCAUAUAUGAACUAAGAAAAUUUUGUACAGCUUCAAUACAAAACAGUCAGCCACAGUGUUAAUUCAAAGCAUGUUUUAAGUUCACGAACCUUUAG
rnacentral:lncRNA from 1 species